UCGGGAAUAUUGCGCAAUGGGCGAAAGCCUGACGCAGCCAUGCCGCGUGUGUGAAGAAGGCCCUAGGGUUGUAAAGCACUUUCAAUUGUGAGGAAAGGUUGACAGUUAAUACCUGUCAGCUGUGACGUUAACUUUAGAAGAAGCACCGGCUAACUCCGUGCCAGCAGCCGCGGUAAUACGGAGGGUGCAAGCGUUAAUCGGAAUUACUGGGCGUAAAGCGCGCGUAGGCGGUUUUUUAAGUCGGAUGUGAAAGCCCCGGGCUCAACCUGGGAACUGCAUCCGAUACUGGAAGACUAGAGUGCGGGAGAGGGAGGUAGAAUUCCACGUGUAGCAGUGAAAUGCGUAGAUAUGUGGAGGAAUACCAGUGGCGAAGGCGGCCUCCUGGCUCGACACUGACGCUGAGGUGCGAAAGCGUGGGGAGCAAACAGG
rnacentral:rRNA from 1 species